UACGUAGGGUGCGAGCGUUGUCCGGAAUUACUGGGCGUAAAGAGCUCGUAGGUGGUUUGUCGCGUUGUUCGUGAAAACUCACAGCUUAACUGUGGGCGUGCGGGCGAUACGGGCAGACUGGAGUACUGCAGGGGAGACUGGAAUUCCUGGUGUAGCGGUGGAAUGCGCAGAUAUCAGGAGGAACACCAGUGGCGAAGGCGAGUCUCUGGACGACUCCUGACACUGAGGCACGAAAGCUGGGGGAGCAAACAGG
rnacentral:rRNA from 1 species